UACGUAGGGCGCAAGCGUUGUCCGGAUUUAUUGGGCGUAAAGAGCGUGUAGGCGGCCAGACAGGUCCGUUGUGAAAACUCGAGGCUCAACCUCGAGACGUCGAUGGAAACCGUCUGGCUAGAGUCCGGAAGAGGAGAGUGGAAUUCCUGGUGUAGCGGUGGAAUGCGCAGAUAUCAGGAGGAACACCGAUGGCGAAGGCAGGUCUCUGGGCCAUUACUGACACUGAGAAGCGAAAGCAUGGGGAGCGAACAGGAUUAGAUACCCCGAGUCAGACCAAGACCAUCUCGUCACCUA
rnacentral:rRNA from 1 species